UUGGAAAUUAACCUAUUUGGUUGGAAACGAACCCGUUUGGUUGGAAAUAACGAGCCCGCGGCUGCCCCGCGCCGACCGUUAACGGCCAGCACAGCGGCACGCGCUCGGGGGCAGCUGUCCGUUAAAUCCCCCUCCCCGCCCAGCGCCAUUUUGGAGAAGAGGCUGCCGCUGGGGGCAGGAGGGAGGUCGUCAGCGGGGCUUGCAGGUUGAGGGAGCUAACUUGUGAGAUUUUUCCUGCAGUUUCAGCAGAGUAAAGCCUUCUUUCACUUCAUCUUGAGAAGUUCCUACGUUCUGAGAAACGUUUGUCACAGUACACUGCAGAGGGAUCUUCACUCCAGUGAAGUCUGUUUAUCCAGUGAAGUCCUGUGGGAUACUUUAAAGAAAGGUGGAACCAUUCCUACUGAAGGGGUGCCAUAAUGUCUUCUGGGAGGAAGAGCAGCUGUCUCAAGCUCAACUUGGGAAAAACUGAAGUGGUAUUGUCCAAAAUACUCAUUUUCUUCAGGAAACAUUUGCCUUCCCAAUUAGUCCAAAAGCCCAGGCUCUGAGCAUUAUUUCAUGCAAUAGACAGCUUUAAAGGGCAGUAAGAGACAUGGGGAAGAGGUACACAAGGAAGCACAGUCACUAUCAUUUGUAUCUCAGAUAUUGUCUCCUCUGCCAGAACACUGGUAUAUUGACUGAAUCACAGAGUUGAUCACAAAUCUGCCGUGGACCUCCAGAAAAUGAGUUAUGGAAGCCACCAAAGCAAGUUAUGCUCUCAUAGACAGAGCUUUUUCUUUGUGAGGAUAUUCAUAGCCCUUUUAUGAAGAUAUUUGACUGGCUAGUUUUAUUUGGUAGAUAUGGAAUGAUAUGGCAGAAGUUUUUACUGACAUUUUUGAUGGUUAGAAUUUUCAGUAUGAGUCACUCUAUGACACCCCCCACACAAUCAUUUCCAAACAGCUUCUCCUCAGAUGUUUGUCAAAUUCCCUGACCAAGUCUCAUGCUCUUUAUAGGAGCAUUACAAGGAAUUUCAAGCAAUAGUCUAUGAAGAACUGACAUCCAAGAUCUGAUUCUUCUGAUACUAGAGAUUAAUCCAUAAUGCGUGCUGCAUCUGUAACCCAUUUAUACAGCAGUGGACGCCUCUUUUUAUUGUAGAUUUAUGCAACAGUGGUCCCAGUUCAUUGUUUUUUAGGGCUGAUUCAUUUUUUUUUUUGCAUUUCACAGUGUUAGAUACUUUGCUACUUUUAAGGAUUUAUGCCACAACAUGCUAGUUUUCAGAAUUUGAGGGUUUUUUGAUGCACACCUAUGACUCCAUUUUUAUAAUUUGAUUUUUAUGCAUAUCAGACAUUCCCUGGCUUUUUGUUUCUCCAUGUGCAAGAAACACAAAGAGAAAUGAGUUUCCUGGGCCGUUUUGUCUAGAUACAAUCUCGUCUGAACACUUGAUGUCAUUGGGCAGUUUGGGUUUGUUAUCUGGGAGAGCAAUUCUUACAUUUCUCCAGGGGAUGAGAAGAUAUUCUGUACAUUACCGUCAGUCACUGUAUGAGAAGCAAACAGAUGUCAGAAAGACAAACUGAUAGCUGAAUUAGCACAUCAUAUUAAUGGUUAUGCUGUUGGAAAUGGUAUAAGCCGUCUGAUGAAUGAAGACCAACUAUGUAGUAAGGUAAAUCUACAAAAGAAAGCAACUAAAACAUAAGGAGGUAUUGUGUAGAAUCAUAGAAUAUCCUGAGUUGGAAGUGACCCACAAGGAUCAGUUACUUAAUUAGUUAUGUUUAACCUCUUAACUUUACCACUUCUUUUUUCAGUAUAAUGUACUCUAGAAAAAGCUCUGCAGUUUUUUGUUUUUGUUUGUUUGUUUGCUUUUCCUGGUAAGGUUUCCAUUGGCUGAACAGAUUAUAAAUCAAGAAAAAACUUAUUAUGAUUAAAAUAAAAAAUGCAAAGGGCUGCAAGUAGCAGAAGCGGUACAAACAGUGAAAGGGGAAUCUUAAAAGUGAGAAUGAGAACGACACAUGCUACUUACCUCUUAUCAUCUGAAUUGUAUAACUUUCCUUGUGGUUUUGUAUAUAGAAUACCAGUCUGUCUGGUAGAAUUACAUCUUCUGUUUUAGUAACUGACAUAAUAUUAAAGGAAUGACACCCCAAGAAAUCAGUAUUUUACAAAGUUUAAAACAGAUCUUGUUUCCACUGCUUACAGCUUAGAUUCCUAUCAUUUUAACCAAAGUACAUGUAGGGUGUUUUACAGUGUUUACUGCCAGUUAUUCUUUUUUAAAUGACAACUCAUGCAGUUAUGGAUGCAUUGCAUGAUCUGUAGAGGAUUCAUGAGAAUCGUGCAUGUUCAUGGAACAGAAGAAGGAACCACCAACCACAGGCAAGGAAACAAAGUUCUUUUUAGAUUAUUAACUUUGCAGAUUGCACCCAUUCAUUUGCUACCUCUUAAUUCUUUCCCCUGGGCCCAUAGCAUGACAUGUCAAGCAAAGGGCAAAAGCAUAACUUUGUUAUCUGGCAGAUGUCCACAUUAUAUAGCUCAGUGCUCCAUGGAAGGUGAAGUAAAAGCUAUGUAUAGAUGUGACCUUAGGCACACGCAGAUGCUGCACGCAAGUACAGUAAUGCUAAUCAACCAAGUAAAGCUGCAGUAUCAGGGACUAGGUGAGUCAGCAAAGCUUCUGCAAAGAGAACAUCAGGCAUAACAGUUGCUAAGAUACCAAGGUUGCAACAAAAAAAAAGUAAUACUAAGUGAGUUUCCUUAUUAAUAACUUGCUGCAGCAUGUGUGUAGUAACAGUGGCAAGCAGAAAAAACAAUGGACAUGAAGAGCAAGUUCAGUCAUACGGUAGGGAGGAGCAGGGCCGUAAGUGGGACUUCUGAGGCUCAUCCUGCUGGAAAAACUCGGCAGCAGUGGCAGGUUAAUAAAGAGCUAUUACAUGUUCAUUUUCGUUUUGUUGUGAAUGUGGCUGUUGGCUUGAAUUUUGCUGGAAAAGUAUGGGUUUUAUCAGGUACAAUAUCUGAAUGUUAGCAUCUGUGUAAUGGAAACCAUUUUAAGCUCAUUAAUCCAUGCCUAGGACUUGCCUUAACAUUUGGCUUUACUAAAAAGAUGCUUGUUCUUGUUGACUGGAAAGUGAUAAAGUGAUUUCAGUGCAGGAACCACUUUUUAGUGGCAGACAUUGUCAUUUGUAUUUGAAAAUAAUGUUGUAAAUAAUGCUGUACUUUAUGAGCUGAUAUGUAAUAUUUUUUAAGUAAUUGAGAAGUUGGGAAAUCUGCCUACUAUCCUCAGCAAGCUGCUUCUGCUUAAAUAUAUAUUGUUUUUUGUUGUU